rnacentral:rRNA from 1 species
AUCGUAACUCCUACGGGAGGCAGCAGUGGGGAAUAUUGGACAAUGGGGGCAACCCUGAUCCAGCAAUGCCGCGUGUGUGAAGAAGGCCUUCGGGUUGUAAAGCACUUUCAAUAGGGAGGAAAGGUUGUAAGUUAAUACCUUGCAACUGUGACGUUACCUAUAGAAGAAGCACCGGCUAACUCCGUGCCAGCAGCCGCGGUAAUACGGAGGGUGCAAGCGUUAAUCGGAAUUACUGGGCGUAAAGCGCGCGUAGGCGGUUAUUUAAGUCAGAUGUGAAAUCCCCGGGCUCAACCUGGGAAUUGCAUUUGAUACUGGAUGGCUAGAGUGUGGUAGAGGUGAGUGGAAUUUCAGGUGUAGCGGUGAAAUGCGUAGAGAUCUGAAGGAACAUCAGUGGCGAAGGCGACUCACUGGGCCAUUACUGACGCUGAGGUGCGAAAGCGUGGGUAGCAAACAGGAUUAGAAACCCUUGUAGUCCUAGAGC